rnacentral:rRNA from 1 species
CACGUAGGGUGCGAGCGUUGUCCGGAAUUAUUGGGCGUAAAGAGCUCGUAGGCGGUGUGUCGCGUCGGCCGUGAAAACCUGCAGCUUAACUGUGGGCUUGCGGUCGAUACGGGCAUCACUGGAGUUCGGCAGGGGAGACUGGAAUUCCUGGUGUAGCGGUGAAAUGCGCAGAUAUCAGGAGGAACACCGGUGGCGAAGGCGGUUCUCUGGGCAUUACCUGACGGCUGAGGAGCGAAAGUG